UACGUAGGGUGCAAGCGUUGUUCGGAAUUACUGGGCGUAAAGGGCUCGUAGGUGGCCAACUAAGUCAGACGUGAAAUCCCUCAGCUUAACUGGGGAACUGCGUCUGAUACUGGAUGGCUUGAGAUUGGGAGAGGGAUGCGGAAUUCCAGGUGUAGCGGUGAAAUGCGUAGAUAUCUGGAGGAACACCGGUGGCGAAGGCGGCAUCCUGGACCAACACUGACACUGAGGAGCGAAAGCCAGGGGAGCAAACGGG
rnacentral:rRNA from 1 species